AUCUCUUGUGUGUCUUGCAUCCAUGAGUUCAUCCUCAUUAAACACAAUUAAAGAUAGCAGAGUGAGAGAAGCACUUUGAUUUCAGAGGAUAAAAUUAACUGUAACAUCAUGAACAUAAAACAGGGUGAAACACAGCAAGAAAAAGAUGCCAAGAAUGGAUUCACUUGAAUUCAACAAAGGUCUCAUCACAGGGCAGCAUACCCAAAUCCAUAAACUGAUAAUGUGGAGUCAAGCAAGGAAGGAGUUAAUAUCUGUGAUAGGAAGAGUCAGCCUCAACUGUCCCUGGAGCCACCUGGUACCUAUUAAGGAGUAGUUAUGAGAGACAGGUCUUACUGAAGGAUGACAAAUCAUAUGAAGUUCCAGUUGUGGGGAAAGGUGCAGGGUGACAGCUUCUGCCAGGUUUCCCCUGGAGGACCCAUGGUAGCAGUAGUGUGAGAUCUGUAGGUGAGAGGACAGAGCACUUCUACAUAUUCAGCUCUUACCUGCAGGAUCAUUUUCCUGAGCUAGCCUUUGUUAUUGCAAUUUUCAUAGCAAGUGGCCAGCUCAGGAUGAAGAUCCUUUUUGACUCCUGAAUU